UACGUAGGGAGCAAGCGUUGUCCGGAAUCAUUGGGCGUAAAGCGCGCGUAGGUGGCCACAUAAGUCCGUUGUGAAAGUCAAAGGCUCAACCUUUGAAAGCCGAUGGAUACUGUGUGGCUAGAGUACGGAAGAGGCGAGUGGAAUUCCUGGUGUAGCGGUGGAAUGCGCAGAUAUCAGGAGGAACACCAAUAGCGAAGGCAGCUCGCUGGGACGUUACUGACACUGAGAAGCGAAAGCAUGGGGAGCGAACAGG
rnacentral:rRNA from 1 species